rnacentral:rRNA from 1 species
GACAGAGGGUGCAAACGUUGUUCGGAAUUACUGGGCGUAAAGGGCGCGUAGGCGGCCUGCUAAGUCGAACGUGAAAUCCCCGGGCUCAACCCGGGAACUGCGUCCGAUACUGGCAGGCUUGAAUCCGGGAGAGGGAUGUGGAAUUCCAGGUGUAGCGGUGAAAUGCGUAGAUAUCUGGAGGAACACCGGUGGCGAAGGCGGCAUCCUGGACCGGCAUUGACGCUGAGGCGCGAAAGCCAGGGGAGCAAACGGG